UAGAUUCAUUCCUCUGAGGACCCUCAAGUACUUCAGAAGAACUAAAAAAUGAAUAUCACGUUACACCAAAGAAGAAAUGAAAGCUGCCAGUGUCUUCUGAAGUUAAACAGGCUCCUGUUCUUUGACCCAGCAAUCCAAUCCUAGGACUCCAACUAAGCCACUAUGCUGGGAGCAGAGAUGGGGAAGAAUUGCUGAGUCAUGAUAAGAGAAGGCACUAUAGGAAGAAACAGUGAACUCUUAACAGCUGGGCAAGCAAUGAGUCAGCCUGGGUGGUCACUCCAGAUGCUCCCGGACACAUCCCAAUUUCUAGGAUGCCUUG
rnacentral:lncRNA from 1 species